rnacentral:tRNA from 1 species
UGAUCAUCAAGCGGAUCGAAUUUACCCUCUCAAGGCUGAAACAGGGGUUCGAUUCCCCUAGGGAGCGCCA